AGCUUCACGUGACAUCGCGAAAUCUUCCGAGCGCCUGACCCUAUCUACCACAAUAAAUAUACAAGAGACAGUAACUAUUCUGGGGCACUUCAGACAAAUUCUAAAUCAGAUGAUGUAAAUGCCUCAAAGCAAGAAAUUUGAAAGCUAUUCAGUUUUCUUUGAACACUAUUUUGGAUAUGGAUUUCAAGCAUUCAGAGAGGGAAAUCUCUUCUGUCAGUGGGAUCUCAUGUGUUUUAGCUGGAGAAGCAGUGGUAACAUGUGAGUGAGCUGUGGUGCCAUGCUCCAAAUCCCUCAACAACAGACCUGUAUCUUGGGUGAACUAAAUUAGCAUGUGAUCAUUGAGAAGGACUUCUCUCCCAGUUGAAAGUUCUUACUUGAAUACAUAACUACCCAAAGGCAGAGAAAGCUGAUCUGAAUGACUGAUACAUAAUUUUUAUUGGCUUUCAUGGAUACUGUUUGCAUUCAUUACUGAGAACCCAUUGCACAGAAUGAAGUAUUACUGAAUCAUUUCUUAGAAUUAUUAAGCAUAAGCCAGCUUUCAUCCCACAUGCAGGCUUUGAACUCUUACUGAAUACUUUUUUCAAUUCAUUGUCUUUGGGCUCUUUGUUCCACCUGCAGGUCUUGUCUUUGCCAUCUACACAACUUCCAAAACAAUGGGGUUGACCCUGCUGCUUUGAUAUGAGACGCUCUCACUGGCACUGGAGGAGCUUUACCUGUGCUGAGAUGAUGUUGGCUGUAUAUUUAUUGUGACAAUGACAAAGAACUGCCUGGCUUACUGGUUGCCUGUUGGUUUGGGUGCUGUUGAGGGGAAGGAGUCUGUCGUUUUGGGACAUGAAUUGAGCUCACAAGGAAUUCAAAGAGCAGAGCAAGAACUAGCAUUUGCAAAUCAUGCAAAGAAAGGGUCUUACUCUGAGGUCUUCUGUUAUUAACAGACAAGUACUUUUGCCAGGAAAGGGUCUGAACCUCUGACUUUCAAUAGUGGUCAUCAGCCUUAAGUCUCAAAGACUGGAGAUGCAUCUAACCACAAAUACCCAAGCCUGGAAAUCCCUUCUCAGAGGCAAAACAGCUUCCAGGCUCUGACUAGGUAAUGUGAAGAAACCUGAAGAUGUUUUCCAUGGCCUUAUUAUACCUGUUAUGAGGCUGAACAGUCUGAAGUGUUUGAUGGCUCCCACCCAAGUCAGCCUCAUAGUGUCUACCACAUAUGAGUAACACCAGUCUGUGAACCAUAAGUAAAACCACUUCAGUAUAGUUCCAUUAAGGUAUGUUCUACAAAUAAAAAUUGAGAACAGCUCCCUGCA
rnacentral:lncRNA from 1 species